GACGAACGCUGGCGGCGUGCUUAACACAUGCAAGUCGAACGGAAAGGCCCCUUUGGGGUUACUCGAUUGGCGAACGGGUGAGUAACACGUGAUUAACCUGCCCUUGCCUUCGGGAUAACUUCAGUAAACUGGGGCUAAUACCGGAUAGGAAUCCUUGCUGCAUGGUGGGGGUUGGAAAGCUUCGGCGGUUUUGGAUGGACUCGCGGCUUAUCAGCUUGUUGGUGGGGUAGUGGCUUACCAAGGCUUUGACGGGUAGCCGGCCUGAGAGGGCGACCGGCCACAUUGGGACUGAGAUACGGCCCAGACUCCUACGGGAGGCAGCAGUGGGGAAUAUUGCACAAUGGGCGGAAGCCUGAUGCAGCAACGCCGCGUGCGGGAUGACGGCCUUCGGGUUGUAAACCGCUUUCAGCAGGGGCGAAGCUUGUGGUGACGGUACCUGCAGAAGAAGCACCGGCUAACUACGUG
rnacentral:rRNA from 1 species